rnacentral:tRNA from 1 species
GCCGGAGUGGCGGAAUUGGCAGACGCGCCGGAUUCAAAAUCCGGUGAGGGCAACCUCAUGUGGGUUCGAGUCCCACCUCCGGUACUA